GACAGAGGGUGCUAGCGUUGUUCGGAAUUACUGGGCGUAAAGGGCGCGUAGGCGGCUUGUCUAGUCGGGUGUGAAAUCCCGGGGCUCAACCCCGGAACUGCAUUCGAUACUGGCAGGCUAGAGACCGGAAGAGGUGGGUGGAAUACCCAGUGUAGAGGUGAAAUUCGUAGAUAUUGGGUGGAACACCGGUGGCGAAGGCGGCUCACUGGUCCGGUUCUGACGCUGAGGCGCGAAAGCGUGGGGAGCAAACAGG
rnacentral:rRNA from 1 species